rnacentral:RNase_P_RNA from 1 species
CAUGCAAGCCGGCUUAUCGCUCCGAUAAUUAUCGGAGAGGAAAGUCCGGGCAACAUAGAGCAUCGUACUUCCUAACAGGAAGGCCCUCGCGGUUACCGUAAGGGACAGACAGUGCCACAGAAAACAAACUACCUCGCUCCGAUUCCGAUCGGAUUGGGGAAAAGGUGAAAAGGUGGAGUAAGAGCCCACCGCCUUGAUGGCGACAUCAGGGGCAUGGCAAACCUUACGAGUUGAAAGGCCAAAUAGGUCACGCUUACGAAAGUAAUUAGCUGCUCGCUACUAGCGCAAGCUGGCGUGAUUGGGUAGGCUGCUCGAUUCUGAUGGCAACAUCAGAACCAGAUAAAUGAUAGGCAUCACGCCUUGGCGUGAAACAGAACCCGGCUUACAGGCUUGCAUUUUUU